AGAGUUUGAUCCUGGCUCAGGAUGAACGCUGGCGGCGUGCCUAACACAUGCAAGUCGAGCGGUAUAUAUUGGAAUGAAACUUCGGUCGAGUGAAGAUAUAGAGAGCGGCGGACGGGUGAGUAACGCGUGGGCAACCUGCCUCAUACAGAGGGAUAGCCUCGGGAAACCGGGAUUAAAACCUCAUAAAGCCAUUGAUUCACAUGUUUCGAUGGCCAAAGAUUUAUCGGUAUGAGAUGGGCCUGCGUCUGAUUAGCUGGUUGGUGAGGUAACGGCCCACCAAGGCAACGAUCAGUAGCCGACCUGAGAGGGUAAUCGGCCACAUUGGAACUGAGACACGGUCCAAACUCCUACGGGAGGCAGCAGUGGGGAAUAUUGCACAAUGGGCGAAAGCCUGAUGCAGCAACGCCGCGUGAGCGAUGAAGGCCUUUGGGUCGUAAAGCUCUGUCCUAGGGGAAGAUAAUGACGGUACCCUGGGAGGAAGCCCCGGCUAACUACGUGCCAGCAGCCGCGGUAAUACGUAGGGGGCAAGCGUUAUCCGGAAUUAUUGGGCGUAAAGAGUGCGUAGGUGGUUCUUUAAGCGUGAGGUGAAAGGCAAUGGUUUAACCAUUGUAAGCCUUGCGAACUGGGGGACUUGAGUGCAGGAGAGGUAAGUGGAAUUCCUAGUGUAGCGGUGAAAUGCGUAGAGAUUAGGAAGAACACCGGUGGCGAAGGCGGCUUACUGGACGAGUACUGACGCUCAGGUACGAAAGCGUGGGGAGCAAACAGGAUUAGAUACCCUGGUAGUCGG
rnacentral:rRNA from 1 species